rnacentral:sRNA from 2 species
CACCACGUCAUCUGGGGAGUAGCCCGCCGUCCAUCCGGACGGUUUCCCGCAUCAACAUACUUGGCCGAGAGGCCGUGGUGCAGGAAGGACGGAUCACCGUCCCGGCGAGACCAAUGACAUUGCGCCUCCGCUUGCCGGGUGGAGUGGCGCGAUGUCGUUGUGUUGUUCGUCCGCCCGGCACCGGAUU